rnacentral:rRNA from 1 species
GCAGUUAAAAAGCUCGUAGUUGGAUUUCGGAACCGGCCGAUUGGUCCGUCCUCUGGAUCGUGUACUGAUCGGUCUGUUCUUCUUCGCGAAGACCGCGUGUGCUCUUAACUGAGUGGGCGUGGGAUUCGCGACGUUUACUUUGAAAAAAUUAGAGUGUUCAAAGCAGGCAGUCGCUUGAAUAUCUCAGCAUGGAAUAAUAGAAUAGGACUUUGGUCUUAUUUUGUUGGUUUCCGAGACCGAAGUAAUGAUUAAUAGGGACAGUUGGGGGCAUUCGUAUUUCAUUGUCAGAGGUGAAAUUCUUGGAUUUAUGAAAGACGAACUUCUGCGAAAGCAUUUGCCAAGGAUGUUUUCAUUAAUCAAGAACGAAAGUUGGAGGCUCGAAGACGAUCAGAUACCGUCCUAGUUCCAACCAUAAACGAUGCCGUCUGCGGAUCGGAGGUCGCUCAUGUAAGGCUCCUUCGGCACGCUAUGAGAAAUCAAAGACUUCGGGUUCCGGGGGGAGUAUGUUCGCAAGAAUGAAACUUAAAGGAAUUGACGGAAGGGCACCACCAGGAGUGG